rnacentral:rRNA from 1 species
UUGAUCCUGGCUCAGAACGAACGCUGGCGGCGCGUUUUAAGCAUGCAAGUCGAACGGUAGAGAAGUGCUUGCACUUCUUGAGAGUGGCGAACGGGUGAGUAACACGUAGGUGAUCUACCGCAGGGGUUGGGGAUAGCCCAUGGAAACAUGGGGUAAUACCGAAUACGCUCAUUUGGCUGUGGCCGGAUGAGGAAAGGCGCUUCGGCGUCGCCCUGCGAUGAGCCUGCGCCCCAUUAGCUAGUUGGUAGGGUAAAGGCCUACCAAGGCGACGAUGGGUAGCCGGCCUGAGAGGGUGAUCGGCCACACUGGGACUGAGAUACGGCCCAGACUCCUACGGGAGGCAGCAGCUAAGAAUCUUCCGCAAUGGACGAAAGUCUGACGGAGCGACGCCGCGUGGGUGAAGAAGGCCGGAAGGUUGUAAAGCCCUUUUCUCGUUGAGGAAUAAGCACAGGAGGGAAUGCCUGUGCGAUGACGGUAGGCGAGGAAUAAGUCCCGGCCAAUUACGUGCCAGCAGCCGCGGUAACACGUAUGGGACGAGCGUUGUUCGGAAUCAUUGGGCGUAAAGGGCGCGUAGGCGGCGAGGUAAGCCUGGUGUGAAAGACCGCAGCUUAACUGCGGAACCGCGCUAGGAACUGCUUUGCUUGAGUUCAGGAGGGGGAGCUGGAAUUCCAGGUGUAGGGGUGAAAUCUGUAGAUAUCUGGAAGAACACCGGCGGCGAAGGCGAGCUCCUGGCCAUGAACUGACGCUGAGGCGCGAAAGCGUGGGGAGCGAACAGGGAUUAGAUACCCUGGUAGUCCACGCUGUAAACGA